rnacentral:rRNA from 1 species
GGUUAAGCGACUAAGCGUACACGGUGGAUGCCCUGGCAGUCAGAGGCGAUGAAGGACGUGCUAAUCUGCGAUAAGCGUCGGUAAGGUGAUAUGAACCGUUAUAACCGGCGAUUUCCGAAUGGGGAAACCCAGUGUGUUUCGACACACUAUCAUUAACUGAAUCCAUAGGUUAAUGAGGCGAACCGGGGGAACUGAAACAUCUAAGUACCCCGAGGAAAAGAAAUCAACCGAGAUUCCCCCAGUAGCGGCGAGCGAACGGGGAGGAGCCCAGAGCCUGAAUCAGUGUGUGUGUUAGUGGAAGCGUCUGGAAAGGCGCGCGAUACAGGGUGACAGCCCCGUACACAAAAAUGCACAUGCUGUGAGCUCGAUGAGUAGGGCGGGACACGUGGUAUCCUGUCUGAAUAUGGGGGGACCAUCCUCCAAGGCUAAAUACUCCUGACUGACCGAUAGUGAACCAGUACCGUGAGGGAAAGGCGAAAAGAACCCCGGCGAGGGGAGUGAAAAAGAACCUGAAACCGUGUACGUACAAGCAGUGGGAGCCUCUUUAUGGGGUGACUGCGUACCUUUUGUAUAAUGGGUCAGCGACUUAUAUUCUGUAGCAAGGUUAACCGAAUAGGGGAGCCGAAGGGAAACCGAGUCUUAACUGGGCGUUAAGUUGCAGGGUAUAGACCCGAAACCCGGUGAUCUAGCCAUGGGCAGGUUGAAGGUUGGGUAACACUAACUGGAGGACCGAACCGACUAAUGUUGAAAAAUUAGCGGAUGACUUGUGGCUGGGGGUGAAAGGCCAAUCAAACCGGGAGAUAGCUGGUUCUCCCCGAAAGCUAUUUAGGUAGCGCCUCGUGAAUUCAUCUCCGGGGGUAGAGCACUGUUUCGGCAAGGGGGUCAUCCCGACUUACCAACCCGAUGCAAACUGCGAAUACCGGAGAAUGUUAUCACGGGAGACACACGGCGGGUGCUAACGUCCGUCGUGAAGAGGGAAACAACCCAGACCGCCAGCUAAGGUCCCAAAGUCAUGGUUAAGUGGGAAACGAUGUGGGAAGGCCCAGACAGCCAGGAUGUUGGCUUAGAAGCAGCCAUCAUUUAAAGAAAGCGUAAUAGCUCACUGGUCGAGUCGGCCUGCGCGGAAGAUGUAACGGGGCUAAACCAUGCACCGAAGCUGCGGCAGCGACACUAUGUGUUGUUGGGUAGGGGAGCGUUCUGUAAGCCUGUGAAGGUGUGCUGUGAGGCAUGCUGGAGGUAUCAGAAGUGCGAAUGCUGACAUAAGUAACGAUAAAGCGGGUGAAAAGCCCGCUCGCCGAAAGACCAAGGGUUCCUGUCCAACGUUAAUCGGGGCAGGGUGAGUCGACCCCUAAGGCGAGGCCGAAAGGCGUAGUCGAUGGGAAACAGGUUAAUAUUCCUGUACUUGGUGUUACUGCGAAGGGGGGACGGAGAAGGCUAUGUUGGCCGGGCGACGGUUGUCCCGGUUUAAGCGUGUAGGCUGGUUUUCCAGGCAAAUCCGGAAAAUCAAGGCUGAGGCGUGAUGACGAGGCACUACGGUGCUGAAGCAACAAAUGCCCUGCUUCCAGGAAAAGCCUCUAAGCAUCAGGUAACAUCAAAUCGUACCCCAAACCGACACAGGUGGUCAGGUAGAGAAUACCAAGGCGCUUGAGAGAACUCGGGUGAAGGAACUAGGCAAAAUGGUGCCGUAACUUCGGGAGAAGGCACGCUGAUAUGUAGGUGAAGCGACUUGCUCGUGGAGCUGAAAUCAGUCGAAGAUACCAGCUGGCUGCAACUGUUUAUUAAAAACACAGCACUGUGCAAACACGAAAGUGGACGUAUACGGUGUGACGCCUGCCCGGUGCCGGAAGGUUAAUUGAUGGGGUUAGCGCAAGCGAAGCUCUUGAUCGAAGCCCCGGUAAACGGCGGCCGUAACUAUAACGGUCCUAAGGUAGCGAAAUUCCUUGUCGGGUAAGUUCCGACCUGCACGAAUGGCGUAAUGAUGGCCAGGCUGUCUCCACCCGAGACUCAGUGAAAUUGAACUCGCUGUGAAGAUGCAGUGUACCCGCGGCAAGACGGAAAGACCCCGUGAACCUUUACUAUAGCUUGACACUGAACAUUGAGCCUUGAUGUGUAGGAUAGGUGGGAGGCUUUGAAGUGUGGACGCCAGUCUGCAUGGAGCCGACCUUGAAAUACCACCCUUUAAUGUUUGAUGUUCUAACGUUGACCCGUAAUCCGGGUUGCGGACAGUGUCUGGUGGGUAGUUUGACUGGGGCGGUCUCCUCCUAAAGAGUAACGGAGGAGCACGAAGGUUGGCUAAUCCUGGUCGGACAUCAGGAGGUUAGUGCAAUGGCAUAAGCCAGCUUGACUGCGAGCGUGACGGCGCGAGCAGGUGCGAAAGCAGGUCAUAGUGAUCCGGUGGUUCUGAAUGGAAGGGCCAUCGCUCAACGGAUAAAAGGUACUCCGGGGAUAACAGGCUGAUACCGCCCAAGAGUUCAUAUCGACGGCGGUGUUUGGCACCUCGAUGUCGGCUCAUCACAUCCUGGGGCUGAAGUAGGUCCCAAGGGUAUGGCUGUUCGCCAUUUAAAGUGGUACGCGAGCUGGGUUUAGAACGUCGUGAGACAGUUCGGUCCCUAUCUGCCGUGGGCGCUGGAGAACUGAGGGGGGCUGCUCCUAGUACGAGAGGACCGGAGUGGACGCAUCACUGGUGUUCGGGUUGUCAUGCCAAUGGCACUGCCCGGUAGCUAAAUGCGGAAGAGAUAAGUGCUGAAAGCAUCUAAGCACGAAACUUGCCCCGAGAUGAGUUCUCCCUGACUCCUUGAGAGUCCUGAAGGAACGUUGAAGACGACGACGUUGAUAGGCCGGGUGUGUAAGCGCAGCGAUGCGUUGAGCUAACCGGUACUAAUGAACCGUGAGGCUUAACCUU